UUAAAAACAUUUAAAAACGUGGAGGGGCUUAGCGCGUAAAUAGACUAUUUGGUCUAAAACACGCGAAUCUCCCUAUACUCGGGUCGGGUCACACGGGUCAGGGGCCAAAACGGCGUCGUUUUGAGCCUCUGAACCCACACAUCAAACGACGUCGUUUGCUUCUUCACAAAAGCCCCUAAAAUUUCUUCUAUUGCUUCAUUUUCAGCCGACUUUAAGAAAGUUUCAGGAACUUUCUUCUCUCUACCAGGGUUUCAAACCCUUUCUAAUGCCACCGUCGGUCCUGCCCUCCUCCACCGUUGAUGGCGGUCAUGGCAACAACAGACGGCUUUCCAGGUGAUGGUAUGAUGGGACGGAGGCAGUGCAAGUGGAGGCAAGUGGCCCUAGGGUUUGCUGCUUCUUUUUUUUCUGCUGGUGGUUUGGGCUUGUUUGUAAUCGGGUCUGGGUCUUUGGGGUUAGUUUUGGGCUUAGGUAUAUUGGGCUGAUUUAGGCCCGAUCAAAUUUGGACCAGUACACUUUUAUUUUAGCCAUCCAACCAGUAAAUCUUUAACGUCA